rnacentral:rRNA from 1 species
ACGGGAGGCAGCAGUAAGGGAUAUUGGUCAAUGGGGGGAACCCUGAACCAGCCAUGCCGCGUGAGGGAUGAAGGCCCUACGGGUCGCAGACCUCUUUUGCCGGGGGAUAACGCGCCCCACGCGUGGGGCGGUGAAGGUACCCGGAGAAUAAGCAUCGGCUAACUCCGUGCCAGCAGCCGCGGUAAUACGGAGGAUGCGAGCGUUAUCCGGAUUUAUUGGGUUUAAAGGGUGCGCAGGCGGGGCGCUAAGUCAGCGGUGAAAGGCGACGGCUCAACCGGAGCAGUGCCGUUGAUACUGGUGUCCUUGAAUGCGGUCGAGGCCGGCGGAAUGUGGCGUGUAGCGGUGAAAUGCAUAGAUAUGCCACAGAACCCCGAUAGCGAAGGCAGCUGGCCGGGCCUGCAUUGACGCUGAGGCACGAAAGCGUGGGGAUCGAACAGGAUUAGAUACCCUGGUA